CUUUUAGCAGGAUUUUCUCCCUGCUUAAAGAAUGUGCACACUCACGCCAAGAGGAGAGAAGUGAGGGCAGGAGGCCAUCUUCCCUCUGAUGCAACAGUCUCUUUCUUUACUGCCGUCUUGAUAUUUGGCUCUUCAAACACCAGCAGCAUAAUGUCAGCUCUCGUUCUACAAUGAAAAAUGCUCCACCCGGAUUUCCAUUGUAAACAGGUCAGUCCCAUUGGUUUAUUCAUUCUUUGGACUCUUAAACAGCCAGCCUGAUGCUAAGCUCUAUAAAGAAGAAUAUAAGAAGGAUGCAAAGAAAACGAGAACGCCCCCCCCGGCAAUCUCCCACCUGCCUGUAACCAGCUGGACACUCUGACCACCUUCAGCUUCUCUCUGCUGGUCUGAUGUCACCUCUCCAGGAAGGACUCUGCAUGUGAUCUGAGACAGACCACCCCAGGGUGGAGCCUUUAGGAGGUGAUUAGGUCAUGAGGAUGGAGCCAUCGUGCAUGAGAUUAGUGCCCUCAUAAAGGAGGUCCCAGAGAGCUCCCUUGCCCCCUCUGCCUUGUGAGGACCCAGCAAGAAGACAGCAGUCUGAAACCUGGAAGAGGGAUAUCCUCAGAACCUGACCAUACCGGCACUCCGAUCUCUGACUUCCAGCUUCCAGAACUGUGAGAAUUAAAUGUCUAUUGUUUACAAGCCAGAUAGCCUAUGAUACUUUUAUAGCAGCCUGCACAGACUGAGACAGCUACUGUGAACAUAUUUGAGAUAUUCCCUUGCAUACAUGUGCAAGAAUUUAUCUAAGGUAUAUAUUCUGUGGUGAAAUUUCUGGGUUGAAGAGAAUGAGAAUCUUCAACUUUUUUUGAUAUUUCCAACCAUUCUCCAAACUGUUUUUUACCAAUUUAUU
rnacentral:lncRNA from 1 species